GAUGAACGCUGGCGGCGUGCCUAAUACAUGCAAGUCGAGCGAACAGACGAGGAGCUUGCUCCUCUGACGUUAGCGGCGGACGGGUGAGUAACACGUGGAUAACCUACCUAUAAGACUGGGAUAACUUCGGGAAACCGGAGCUAAUACCGGAUAAUAUAUUGAACCGCAUGGUUCAAUAGUGAAAGACGGUUUUGCUGUCACUUAUAGAUGUAUCCGCGCCGCAUUAGCUAGUUGGUAAGGUAACGGCUUACCAAGGCAACGAUGCGUAGCCGACCUGAGAGGGUGAUCGGCCACACUGGAACUGAGACACGGUCCAGACUCCUACGGGAGGCAGCAGUAGGGAAUCUUCCGCAAUGGGCGAAAGCCUGACGGAGCAACGCCGCGUGAGUGAUGAAGGUCUUCGGAUCGUAAAACUCUGUUAUUAGGGAAGAACAAAUGUGUAAGUAACUAUGCACGUCUUGACGGUACCUAAUCAGAAAGCCAAGGCUAACUACGUG
rnacentral:rRNA from 1 species